rnacentral:rRNA from 1 species
UACGUAGGGGGCCAGCGUUGUCCGGAUUUAUUGGGCGUAAAGAGCGUGUAGGCGGCCAGGUAGGUCUGGUGUGAAAACUCGAGGCUCAACCUCGAGAUGUCAUCGGAAACCAUCUGGCUAGAGUCCGGAAGAGGAGAGUGGAAUUCCUGGUGUAGCGGUAAAAUGCGCAGAUAUCAGGAAGAACACCUAUGGCGAAGGCGGUUCUCUGGGACGGUACUGACGCUGAGACGCGAAAGCGUGGGGAGCGAACAGG